rnacentral:lncRNA from 1 species
CAUGAGGAUGAGAUGUAACGCGCUGCUGGAGCGUCGUGCCAUUGGCGAGCGCUGAUAACGCGUCCCUCGUUCGGACAGCAUGAAUUACACAUAGGCGUCUCACACAUGCUUCUGGACCAUGAGUGAUGAGUCUCCGUUACAGACGCGCCUCACCACUGACGUGCCGCUGGCAUCCGGCUCUCAGGAGAACUAUGUCCUGCUGCUGGUGCUGCUGUGUGUGUUCGCCGGCGGGACGCUGGUCCUCCUGUCCAUCCUGCUGGUCUUCUGUCAUCGCUGCUGUCGAGGAGAGCGACGCUAUUCCAGGU